rnacentral:rRNA from 14 species
AAAUCAGAACGUUAAAUAAUAAAUAUAAAUAAAAAAAUAAAAUAAAUAAAAAUA